rnacentral:rRNA from 1 species
AACGUAGGUGGCAAGCGUUAUCCGGAUUUACUGGGCGUAAAGCGUCUGUAGGUGGCUUUUUAAGUCCGCCGUCAAAUCCCAGGGCUCAACUCUGGACAGGCGGUGGAAACCACCAAGCUGGAGUACGGUAGGGGCAGAGGGAAUUUCCGGUGGAGCGGUGAAAUGCGUAGAGAUCGGAAAGAACACCAACGGCGAAAGCACUCUGCUGGGCCGACACUGACACUGAGAGACGAAAGCUAGGGGAGCGAAUGGG